rnacentral:hammerhead_ribozyme from 1 species
UCAUUGCUGAGGAGCCCCACAAUAGGACGAAACGGCCGUCCAAUGC